AAACUUGCCCCGAGAUGAGUUCUCCCUGACUCCUUGAGAGUCCUGAAGGAACGUUGAAGACGACGACGUUGAUAGGCCGGGUGUGUAAGCGCAGCGAUGCGUUGAGCUAACCGGUACUAAUGAACCGUGAGGCUUAACCUUACAACGCCGAAG
rnacentral:rRNA from 2 species